CAGCCGGACCGGACGGUCGCUGUCGCCUUCACCGGCGGCAGAGGAAAGUCCGAACUCCGCAGAGCAGUGUGCCGGAUAACGUCCGGGAGGCUGGUUUCAAGACCAGUCGACGGAAAGUGCCACAGAAAACAUACCGCCGAGCAAUCGGUAAGGGUGAAAAGGUGCGGUAAGAGCGCACCGCCCGUUUAGUAAUAAACGGGGCAGGGCAAACCCCACACGGAGCAAGACCAAAUAGGGGACCAGUCCGGGAGCAAUCCCGGCACGUGCCGGCUCGGCGCGGAUGAGUUCCGGGUAGGUCGCUACAGCCGGGCAGCGAUGUCCGGCGCAGAGGAAUGACCGUCCCACCCGCAAGGGCGGACAGAAUUCGGCUUACAAAGUUCGGCUGCCAA
rnacentral:RNase_P_RNA from 1 species